GACGUAGGGUGCGAGCGUUGUCCGGAGUUACUGGGCGUAAAGGGCGCGUAGGCGGCCAGCACAAGUCAGUUGUGAAAUCUCCGAGCUUAACUCGGAAAGGUCAACUGAUACUGUGCGGCUAGAGUGCGGAAGGGGCAACUGGAAUUCUUGGUGUAGCGGUGAAAUGCGUAGAUAUCAAAGAGAACACCUGCGGCGAAGGCGGGUUGCUGGGCCGACACUGACGCUGAGGCGCGAAAGCCAGGGGAGCGAACGGGG
rnacentral:rRNA from 1 species